UGAGAGGUGGGAGCAGGUGGGACUCAGAGCUCAGAUUCCCAGAGUGGACGUUGAAGUCCCCAUUUAGGGGUGGAAGGCUUGGACCCACCUAGGAUGGAGCCUUAGCACAGAUGAGGACACAGCCAUUGAAAGCAUCGACUUAUUUGACUGUGUUAUCAAGACUGUUCUUAUGCUGUACUUGUUUCUCUUGGGCAUGCCAUUAGUGUGGUAUUCAUAAGCAGAAAUGUAAAAAAGAAAUGACAAGAAGUAUGUGUAGUAAAUCCACCUACUUUCCAGACUUAGUUCAAAGAUUAUGACCUAAGCAGAGGUCUGGUUAGUUUAGGCUUUGUGAACGUUUGUCCAAAUUAUAGUAGGUUUACUAGCUAAAAACCCUGGGUGAGUCUGAUGAAAAGUAUUUCUUUUUUUCCAUUGCUGUUUUUGUAACAUCCACAUCAAUCUAAAUUGCUGUUUAGAUAAGGUAACUCUACUUUACUGGCCAAGAGUGAGGAAUAAAAUCUGUUAAGUGGAUGCAACACACUUCCUUUCUGCCUAUUCAUUCAAAAGGCCCUAUAGUGAAAUGGCAAAGAGCCUUUAUUCAAAUGGUGGGUGCCAUGCUGUGGUAAUACAGAUGGAUUUUUCACAACAUGCAGAAGUGCUUAUAAAUAGAUACGUUUCAAUCAACAAGUAGCUUAUUCAGGCAUGUGCUCAAAUAUAGUAGCUGCAUUCAUUAGACAGACAUUUCCACUAAUCCCAAGACUAUACUAAUAAAAGAGUAAUCCCUUAUGGGCUAAAGGUGGUGCUGGUUUGCUUUUAACUCUUGGAGUCCUUCACACACCAAGGCCUAAUAAUAAUUGUAGCUGUAUUUGGUUUUCACCAAGUGAACUUAACCCAUUUAUGCCGGAGGUUGCAAUUUUUAAAAUUUUUGCAAUCAGAGCUUGGUGAUGACCUUGAGCAGUAGAAUAUAAAUAACUCUCACACGCUUAGCGUUCCGAUAAUGGAACACUAAGCAUAAAUGGGUUAAAAGCCGAGCUUAUCUUGGAAUUUUUCUAUUCUUAUUUUUUUAAAUUGCAGGAGCUUAGUGAAGAAAGAGGUGCUUUUUACUCUAGAUAUGUAGCUUUCAGCAAAGCCAAUUCAAAAAUCAGUUUGUGUGUGUGUAUGUUUUCUCGAUACUUUAUCAUAAAGCACUUGUCUCUUUCACCUUGGUUCAUAGAAGUGUUCGCUUGAGCAGAUUCUGUUUUGUUCUUUGAUGUUAGGAUAAAUAACAAUGGUCAGUUUUGAGAGCAUUUGCAAGCUCUCACUAUAGUGGUUUGCCUUUUUACGUGGACUUUUUCCCCUUCAAUAGCUCUUUACUCCUCCUAUGUUACUCAGAGCUAGCUGUAAUCCGUUUGCUUAGCACAACACCAAAAUCUUUCCCUUGCCAGUGGUGUCAAAUCUGCCUUCCUUUUUAUUAUUCUGACUUAUAAACUGCAGUGACCUCUGAGUCAACUUCGCCAUCUCUUGGCCCUGUGCCAACAUUGUGUUCUGUGAAAAGAGAGUCCUGCCAAGGGCUACGAGGCAGAAAACUGAUAUUAUUAAAGUGGUCUUCUGAACGCAACUCUCUGCAAGGUCCUAAGGGUUCUAAGUUGAAUAAGGCCCACUCCCUCCCUUCCAGGACUUUAGCUGAGGUUGGUUGGGGCAGAAGUCGGGCAAGACUCAUCGGAACGGAUUAACAGAGACAGAAUCCAGAGGCAACGGGGUGAAUUCCAAGUAUAGGAUCUGGACUCAGAAGAGAUUUAAGUUUCAAAUCUGGCUUUGUCAGUUAAUGCUUGUGGGAUCUCAACCACGUCACUGACUUCUCUGAGCAUGCUUCCAUAUUUCUACAAAGGAAACAAUAGGUGACUCUGCUGAGUUGAGCACUUGCGAGUACCAAGCAGUGAGGACCUGAGGCACAGAUGCUAACCAGCUUGCUGGAGAUCACACACUCAUGAGUGGCAGAGUGGGGCUUGGAACCGGGUAGCCUGGCUCUGGAGCCCUCACUCCAUCCACACACCAUGCUGGGACCCAGUCGAGUGACCAGCAGACCGGUUGUGUGGGUUAGGUGGAAUGGUGGAUAUAAACCACACAGCCCAGCUCCUGACCCAUGCUGGGCCCUCACAUGAGGCAGGAAAGGAUAGAAGCCUUUCAGAGCCUGAGCCAAGUUCCUCCUCACAGAAGCACAGAGGACACUUACUCCAUCUCUGAAAAAGCUGCCCACACCCCACCUCCAUCCAGCCUUCCAAAAGCCACCACGAAUGACCCGUAGGAGGGGCAGAGUGUGCCACUUGCUACGGACCAGAACCUCUGGGGAGCGGGGAUCAUCUCUGUGUCUCUCUGCUUCAACUGCAUUUAAAAUGAACAUUCUUAAUGAUAAACCUUUCCGUGUGUAAAGAAGGGCGUGGAAAAAUGUAUGUACUGGAGACUCGGGUAAUGACUUUCUAAGUGUGGAAAAUUUUCCCCCAAAGUGUUUCCAAAUAUAGAAAAGUCACAUAAUAAAUGAUGAGGGCUCAUAAACCUUUCUGGCAGCAGUUGCAGGGGUCAGAACAAGGAAGAAGGAAUUCCCAGCUCCUAGGGCCUCGCAUCCCACACUGUCUUCUGGGCUACUGUGCAACCAAUGGUUCCGUAUCUGUACGUACCCAGGGGCUCCUUAGAUAAAUAAUUGAAGUGAAAUAUCAAAUGUGUUACUGGUUUUUUAAUGUCACUGAUAAAACCCCUAAAAUAGACUGCAUGUCUCCCAGCUCUUCUGAACCAGGAGUGUUUGGGAAGUUGAGAAUGUCACUGGUCACAUUGUUCCUUUCUCUUGUGUCUCUAAAGGGUUUUGUUGUUUUAGGUUUGUUAAUGGUUGUCAAACACAUGCCUCAGACAUUUUUAACCUCCUGGAAGCCUACUGGACUCAACACACUGAAAC
rnacentral:lncRNA from 10 species